UACUCAGAAUAGGAAGAGACAAGAUGGAGAC
rnacentral:piRNA from 1 species